rnacentral:misc_RNA from 1 species
GCUUGUAAGUUGUAAAUUGUCUUAUGGAUCCAAGAAAGUUAAAUUCAAUCUGGAAAAUUUGAUGCUUAAAUUAAAGGGAUCGCAUUUUUUUUUUAUCAUUUCUAUUCACUCUAGGACAGUUGCAUAGUUGGGAGGUUGAAAUUAUAUAGAACUGAAGCAAAGGUUCUAUUGUGCAUAGAGUUUAAAAUGAUUGAAGAUCUGAGUAGGAGAGAACAGAUUUGAUAAUUGGAGGUUGGAUUAGGAUGACCUUGUCUUUAUUUCUUUCUUCUGUAAGAAUCAUGGAGAUGCUUCAUAGGGAACAGAUUGUAAAGAGUUGCGAUUUAGGGGUAAAAAAAAAAUGAAUUCCUUAUAUGACAUGCAUAUUCUAAUUUGUUAGACAAUCAUUGCUAGUGAUUUUUUUCUUUUUUUGUUUGGAGUAUUGAUAUAGCAACUGCCAACUCUUUUCAGCUUAAUCUUAGGAGAUUAUCUUGAGAUCCUUUGGAAAUCGUUUUAUGUAUUAGGUGGAUAGGUAAGUGGGGAGCAAUGCAGGCCUAGAUAAAUGAUUAAUUUUGCCUAUGAUGAGGAACCUUCCAUACUGGAACCAUUGUGAUGUGCCCUUUUCACCGUCUAGAUUUUGGUUUCGUUCUUUAAGUAGUCCUACCUGUCUCUGCUUCUCUCCCUUGUGAAAUGAAAGAACAUCUAUUCUUCCUUUUGUAGGGCAA